UACGUAGGGUGCAAGCGUUGUCCGGAAUUAUUGGGCGUAAAGAGCUCGUAGGCGGUUUGUCGCGUCUGCUGUGAAAACCGAGGCUCAACCUCGGGCCUGCAGUGGGUACGGGCAGACUAGAGUGCGGUAGGGGUGACUGGAAUUCCUGGUGUAGCGGUGGAAUGCGCAGAUAUCAGGAGGAACACCGAUGGCGAAGGCAGGUCACUGGGCCGCAACUGACGCUGGAGGAGCGAAAGCAUGGGGAGCGAACAGG
rnacentral:rRNA from 1 species